GCUUAAAGAAAGAAAUAUAGGAUUUGCGAAUGCUUUAUGAAGCAAAGGCGGCAGAAGUUCAACUUGAGCAGCAACUGCAAACUCAGAAUCUCCAAUAUGAUCCCUUAGAUGUUGCCAACAAUUUUGAUAUAUUUUUCGGAUAAUUCCGAGUAUAAAUUUGAGUGUUAUACUUUUAUUUCAUGGUCCAUCAAUUAACGAGGAAAUAUCUGUUCACUUUGGAAUCAGACAGCAGGUGUUUACAAGCAUUAUUAUUCAUUUAAUAUUUUCAUAGGCUUUUUCCAUCCUAUUCAAAUAGAAUUUAUUAUAUGCAAUUCAUUCAAUUUUUCAGAGAUUCAAAUUCGAGCUUCUACAGUUCUAUCAGUGGCCUAGAGUGCCGGAAACUCAUCAAAUUUGUUGCCCUAUGGAAAUCCUAAAAGGUACGCAGAUAUUUACAAAUUAUUAAGCAUUUGAUUGUUGUUUUGAUUGUUGUUUCGUUGUGUAAAAUAUUAAGACGUUUUCUAUAUCAUCUUAAAUUUUUAUAGUUUCACAUGGUAUUAGAGUAGGAGGUCAUGAGUUCAAAUCUUUCUAAACUCCUUGCCAAAUUUAAUUCGUUCCCAAUUAAUUCUAGGGAAGUGUUUGAAAAGGCUUGCCUAUGUAACAAGAUUAGCUCCAAUUUCAAAUUGGUAUGUUAUUGUCACGCCCCGGGGCCCAGUAGGAGCCCGCCCGGCACGUGUCUAGACCCGCUAUAUGUCUAAAACAUAUAAGGCGUCUACGAUACAUCAAUAAAUAAAAUUAAAUAAUACAAAGAGAUCUAGCAAUAUCAGAGUAAGGUACUACUAGAAUCUACAACAUGAGAGUAUAACAAGAGCUAAAAUCCACAAAAAUAAAUCAUGGAGUAGAACGACAGAAUUCUGAGUACAAAUGCUAUAAGUGGUACAAUGGCGGUCUCUAUACAUGGUAACAAAACUCUCUCUCUCACCAAAAGCACAAAAAGAGAGUAGACCACCUAGGAGCAAAGGCAAGCUCCGCACUAACUAGCUACGCGACUCCCUCGCCGCGAUCCCGUGCCUCCGCCGGUGCUGAAGGCUCUGAAAAGAAAGUAUCAAACAGAGGGCGUGAGAACUAUUAAAUAAUAGUUCCUAGUGGGCAAUUACUGACUUCAGUGAAAUGCACCACUAGGCCCAAAACUAAGCAAGGGAAGUAAGUAAGGCACGUAAGAAUAAUAUGAAUAAAUAAAUCACAGAAAUGGAAGUUCACUAUAGCAUGAUGUCACUACUUUCAUAAGUAAUAAUCUACCACAUGAUCUCUACUUAGCAUGAAUUUGCAUAAGUAAUAACUACCAUAUGAUCUCUACUUAGCAUGAAUUUGCAUAAGUAAUAAGCUACCACAUGAUCUCUACUUAGUAUGAAUUUGCAUAAGUAAUAAGUUACCACAUGAUCUCUACUUAGCAUGAAUUUGCAUAAGUAAUAAGCUACCACAUUAUCUCUACUUAGCAUGAAUUUGCAUAAGUAAUAAGCUACCAUAGCAUAAUUGUACAAGUAUAAGCCCAUCACAAUAAUCACAAGCUAGAAUGGUAAUGUGUCAUUAUCCACUAUUCUAGUCAAUGUCCAAAAGGUACAAUAUGUCACCAGUAACCCAAUCCUGUGGAAGCUACCCGUAGGUAGUCCGGCCUGCGCCAUGCCAACAAUGGCCCCGUGGUAGUCAACAUCCCCACUCUAGGAAUGAGCCUCCCCCACGGCAUCCCAUUUUGGCGCCCAAUCCCGCACGGGCGAGCAUGUGUCGCGAUGACUAUCUCCGGAGUGCCGACUUGUAGGGAGCGACUCUCUCAAGUAUGUGCGAAUGAGCACAAUGGCAUGCAAGCGAAUAAGUCCGUCUCAGGUCCCAGUGGUUCAUCACUGUUUCAUCGGAUCUAAAACCCGGAAUACAGCACAUGUCCCAAAGGCCUGCCUCUAUGUCAUCGUGUCUAAAACACGGAAUAUAGUAACUGUCUUAAUGGCCUAUCUCUAGGUCAUCAUGUCUAAAAUAUGGAAUAAUAGUAACUGUCUCAAUGGCCUAUCUCUAUGUCAUCAUGUCUAAAACAUGGAAUAUAGUAGAUUUCCAGUGGCCUAUCAUCAUAUCUCUAAGUUGUAGUUCAAUAAUUUUCUAGUUCAAGUGCCCCUUUAUGAUACUUUUGCUUACUAUGUCCCAAUAUGGAUAAUAAGUCUAAAAGCUUGUCAUUCUAAUCAUUUUCCACACAAGAAACAUGAUCUUACAUCAUUCAUUAGAACAUUAAACUCAUGCAUACUAACAAUGCAUAUGCUUCUCUCUACAACAUAGAGUCAAUUUUUCAUGAUGCAUAACAUAGGGGUCUUAAGCGUUCUAAAGUUCACAUAAAUUUCAUUUAACAUAGAUAUGCAUGUAUUUAUAGAAUAUGAAAACAUUUAACCACAUAGGAGGCAUUUCCCUCCAUUUUAAUGAAGCCAAACCCACCAAGUCCUCUCGAAGCCCAUCGUUUCGCCGAUGGGAGGUGCCCACUAUCCUCCUAGCUCCCUAUAGGUAAAACCAGGGGAGUUACACGAACGAAACGAACUACAACAAGCUAAAACAAUAACAAACUCAAGAUAAGAGCAUAACUCACCUAUAGUGAAGCAAACUCUUCCCAAGCUCCAAAUGGGAGCUAGAACCCUUCCAAUCCAACCUAGAGGAUGAUUCUAAACCAAUCAAUUGAGCUCCGAAAGCCCUAGAUCAAAAAUCCCCAAAUCAAGCCCUAAAUCUUCAUUUCUAGGGUUUCAUCACAAAGAGACCAAUAAAACAUGAGUCAAAAGAAGAGAACAAGUUUCUAACCUCUUGAAAAGCUUCAACCCAAACUCAAGGUCCUCUAGGUUCAAGGAUCUUUCCUCAAACAAGCCUCAAGUCCAAGCUCCAAGCUUCAACAAUGGUGGAAAUUGCUCCAAAAGGCAAAAAGAGAAGUAAAUCCACCAAAAUCCAAACUAAAAGGAUAUCAAAACCAAAGAAAUGGUAAAGUGGGCUCUCUUACCUCUUUCUCCUCCUUCCUCAGCUCAGGGAAAGCCCCAAGGGGCAUAGGUGAUAUAUAGAAUAGCCACAAUUGCAAAAACACCCCUGCAGUUCGACCAUUCAAAAUCUGUCACUGCGUAGCGGUACACGGGCCCGUGUACCGGUACACAUCCCACGAAAAUGCCAAACCCGAGCCUCGGGUUGGCUGGGAAGCUGCCUGUGUACCGGUACAUGAUCCCGUACCGAUACAACCAUCAAUUAUGUACCGGUAUAGCCAUCAACCCUGUACCGGUACGCAGCCUGCUGAAGGCUACCCGAGAGCUGACCAAAAAUUUGACUUUUCGGGUUUUGGUGCCAAGUUUUAAACCUCAAUUCUCGGGACUCGAACCAUAGGUCGGAACACUGUCUACGACCCUCCACAAAGUGUGGAACAGCUCGGAACAUAAAUCAAACACUUGAGCCUCGCAAUUUGCAAAGGUCUAGUGUGUUACAGUUAUAGUAGGGGAAUGAAGUGUUUACAACUCAGCUUGCUCUCUCUUUUUAUCCAGGAAAUUCAGGUUAGUAGACGUGAUUUCGAGUUAGAUUGGAGAUGGGAUUUUGGACUAUUUCUUGGAUUUGAUGGAUUUUCUUUAAAUUUGUCCCAUUAGCUGAGCUUUUUAUGAGUAGAGGACCAAUCUACCUUUACCUAGAACAAGAGGAAAGUGUAUUUAAGCUUAUUAAAAGGUGCUAUAGGGUGAAUUUCUUUUCUUUGGGCUUUACUAACCGAAAUGCGAAAUUGCUGAAUUCUACAGAAUUCUUGAGUUUUGAUGGAAUUACCUUGGGUUUUCCUCUGUAGCUGAACUUUUGGAAGGUUAGUAGAGAGCUUAACUUCACCCACAGCUGGUUGGAUCAUUGUUGGAGCUGAUUUGGAGGUUAGUAAAAGAUGAAUUUUUGGUAACUCGAGUCUUCCAACUU
rnacentral:lncRNA from 1 species